GUUAUACUCCCUCCGUCUCAAAAUUCUUGUCUUAGGUUUGUCUAAAAAUUGCUAUAUCUAAAUACUAAAACGUGACUAGAUACAUUCAUAUCUAGAGAAAUGUAAGACAAUAAUUUUGGGACGAAGGGAGUACCAU
rfam:Hordeum vulgare subsp. vulgare, WGS project CAJW01000000 data, contig: morex_contig_1609097